GCUCCGGCGAUUCAAUCUUCAUGCGAGGAGUCGAGGCUGAUCGAGGCCAUCGUCGGUGCUGCGUUGUGGGCUGAAGGAGGAGGAAAGACUGGUGCAGAUGAGGCCCUAUUGGAGGAGGUAUCCAGGUACUCUCUUCCCGAAAACUGUUCUCUUCUUAGUUUCGGGGAUCGGGGUCUUCUUUCUUCUUCUUCUUUUUUCUGCGGGGAAAAAAAUGAGGACGUUAUGGCUGUUCGGGACUUGGUGGCACUCGAGGGGCCAUAUGUGGUGAACGAAGAAGGGAGGGCUGACCCGUUGAGAAUCAUUGAGGCUGAUGGGAGGGAGAGGGAAAUUUCUUUCGACAUGGAGAAGAAUAUUAAGGAGAGUAAGGGGGGAGAAAUGACGGUAGAAGUUACGGGAAGAGUUUCGGAGGAAGAUAAUAGAAGUGUGCUGGGCUCGUGGAUGAAUGGUGAUUUUAUAAUCUUUGUAAGUGUCUGGGUAUGCCUACGGAGGGUUUUGAGGGGGAAAUUUUAUUGUUAUUAAGAAGAAUGGAAGAGUGAAAGAAUUUUAAGGGUGGUGUGGCAGGAAAAAAAAGGAAGGUUCAAAAGGUCUCCAAGUCAGAGAGAGAAUUGAAAAAACUGGAGUGUUCAGUGAAUUAUUGUGGGACUAGAAAGAGUGCGGGGUUGCUUCAGAUUGCUAACUGAAGUUUGGGUUUGUUGGUCCAGUGAGGGGUGAGGGGAUUAUUAAGAUGGAUGUUAUGAAAUUAAGAGUCUUGUCGUGGAAUGUUAGAGGGGCUAAUGAUAGUGAGAAAAGAAAGGUGAUUAAGGCGUUGAUCAAGAGUCAAAAGGUGGAUGUAGUGUGUUUACAAGAGACCAAAAUGCAGGAGAUGUCAAGGAUGAUAGUUAGAAGCCUCGGAGUGGGAAGAUGUCUGGAUUGGAAGGUGUUAAAUUCGAGGGGUUCUUCUGGCGGUGUGCUGGUGUUCUGGGAUAAGAGGGUGCUGCAUUUAUUGGAAGCGGAAGUGGGGAACUUUUCUGUGUCUUGCAGAUUCAAAAAUUGUGAGGACGACUUUUGUUGGUUAUUCUCUGGAGUUUAUGGGCCUUCAUUGAUGAAAGAGAGGGAAGAUUUUUGGGCGGAAUUAGGAGCGGUUAGGGGUCUAUGGAGUGAUCCUUGGUGUGUGGCAGGGGAUUUCAAUGUUGUGAGAUUCCCUGUGGAGAGCAGUAGGGGAGGCAGAUUAUCUGCUUCAAUGAGGAGAUUUUUCGGAGAUUAUGGAGGAUUUAGAGUUGAGGGACCUGCCUUUGCAAGGAGGCUCUUUCACCUGGAAGGGAGGAUUGAAUAAUCAAUCCCAUUCAAGGCUUGAUCGGUUUCUGAUUUCGAAUGAAUGGGAGGAUCAUUUCUCUGGGUCUAUGCAGUAUGUCCUUCCUAAGCCGACUUCGGAUCAUUUUCCAAUUCUUCUAGACGGGGGAGGAGUAAGGAGUGGUCCGAUGCCGUUCAGGUUUGAGAAUAUGUGGUUGAAGGAAGAGGGGUUCAAAGAAAAAAUGCAGGGGUGGUGGGUGGGGCUCAAUUUUAGUGGGUCUGCGAGCUAUGUGUUGGUUUCUAAAUUGAAAGCUUUGAAGUCUCUGUUGAGAGAUUGGAAUAAGCUGGAGUUUGGGAAAGUGGAGGUCAAUAAGGUUUUGGCUUUGAGUCAGGUGGAUUUUUGGGACAAAAUGGAGUUAUCUCGGACUCUCUCUGUUCAGGAGGUGGACGCAAGGAGAGGAGCUAAAGAGGAUUUUAAGAAGUGGGCUUUGAUGAAAGAGAUAUCUUGGAGACAAAAAUCAAGGGAAGUCUGGUUGAGAGAGGGGGACAGGAAUACUAAGUUCUUCCACAAGAUGGCUAACGCUCACAGGAGGGGGAAUAUGUUAUCCCGGGUCAAAAUAAAUGGUGUUUGGUUAACAAAGGAGAAUGAGGUUAAAGAGGGGGUGGUGAAUGAGUUUAAAGCUAUGUUGUCUUCUGCUGGAGGUUGGAGACCCAGCUUAAGGGGAUUGUCUUUUGAGAGAUUGGAGGCGGUGGAUGCAGCCAGUUUGGAGGAGCCGUUUUCGGAGCAAGAGGUGAUGGAAGCGCUUAAAGGUUUUUGUGGGGAUAAAGCUCCCGGGCCUGAUGGUUUUUCUAUGGCCUUUUGGCAAUCUUCUUGGGAGUUUGUGAAAGAGGAGGUCUUGGGGUUUUUUAGGGAGUUCCAUAACCAUGGCAGGUUUGUUAAAAGUCUUAAUGCCACCUUUAUUGUUUUGAUUCCAAAGAAAGGAGGGACAGAAGAUUUAAGGGAUUUUAGGCCUAUCAGCUUGGUGGGAGGUCUGUAUAAGUGGUUGGCUAAAGUUUUAGCUAAUAGAUUAAAGAGGGUGGUGGGGAAGGUGGUCUCCAAGGCUCAAAAUGCUUUCGUGCAAGGAAGGCAAAUUCUAGAUGCUGUUCCGGUGGCUAAUGAGGUUUUAGACUCGGUUUUAAAAAACAAGGAAGAGGUUGUGAUGUGUAAGCUGGACAUUGAGAAAGCGUAUGACCAUGUGGAAUGGUCCUUUUUGUUUUCAGUCAUGAAGAAGAUGGGGUUUGGGGAAAAAUGGAUUAGAUGGAUGAAGUGGUGUAUCUCCACUGUUAGCUUCUCCGUUUUGGUGAAUGGGUCUUCCUCAGGUUUUUUUCAAAGCUCUAGAGGUUUAAGGCAAGGGGAUCCUCUCUCUCUGUAUCUUUUUGUGUUGGUGAUGGAAGCUUUUAGUAGUCUCCUAAGGAAAACAGUAGCUGGGGGCUUUGUGUCUGCUUGUAAGGCAAGAAGUAGGGGUGGUGAGGGAGUUAAUGUGUCACACCUUUUGUUUGCUGAUGACACUUUGGUUUUCUGUGGAGCUUCCAAGGUGCAAUUGCUGCAUUUAAAUUGGAUUUUAAUGUGGUUUGAAGCCAUGUCGGGCUUGAGAAUUAAUCUUGACAAAAGUGAGCUUAUUCCGGUGGGUUGUGUGAAUAAUGUAGAGGAGUUGGCUGCAGCUAUUGGUUGUAAGGUUGGAAGUCUCCCAACCUCUUAUUUGGGCUUGCCUUUAGGUGCGCAGUAUAGGUCGCGGGCUGUUUGGGACGGCAUGGAGGAGAGAAUGAGGAAAAAAUUGGCUAGAUGGAAGAGCCAAUACAUAUCCAAAGGAGGCAUGAUUACUUUGAUCCGGAGUACUCUAGCUAAUAUGCCCAUUUACUUUAUGUCCAUGCUCUCUAUGCCUAGAAAAGUCAGACUGAGGUUAGAACGGAUUCAGAGGGAGUUCUUAUGGGGAGGUGGGGCCCUUGAGAGGAAGAUUCAUCUUGUUAAGUGGGAGCUGGUUUGUCUUGAGAAGGAUAAUGGGGGGUUGGGGGUCAAGAGUCUUUCUAUCCUCAAUAAGACUCUUUUAUGUAAAUGGAGUUGGAGAUUUGCUAUGGAAAGAGAGGCUUUUUGGAACCAAGUGAUUAGGGGAAAAUAUGGGGAGGAGCAAGGGGGUUGAAGUUCAAAGGAAGCAAGGGGGGAGACGCAUGGUGUGGGAUUGUGGAAAACUCUUAGGAAAGAAUGGGAAGUUGUGAAAAGUAGGCUUGUUUUCGUUGUGGGGAAUGGGAAAAGGAUAAAAUUCUGGAAAGACAUUUGGUGUGGGGAUGAACCCCUUUGUGUUUCUUUUCCUUCUCUAUUUGCAUUGGUUGUUUCCAAGGAUGCUUGGGUUAAGGAUGUUUGGAGGUGCAAUGAGGGUGGGGGAAGUUGGAGCCCGUUGUUUUCUAGACCGUUUAAUGAUUGGGAGUUGGAAGAGGUGUGCAGUUUUUUUGUGGCCUUAAAUAGGAAGCAAAUUCAGCAAGGGGUGGAUGAUAGGGUGAUUUGGAGAGAGACUAAUUGUGGGAAGUUUUCGGUUAAGUCUCUCUACAAAUCAUUAGUAUCAGGCCAUCCAAUCUCCUUCCCAUCGUCGGCUAUUUGGAAAGUUACGGCGCAGCCUAGAGUGAGUUUUUUUGGGUGGGAAACAACGUGGGGAAAGGCUCUCACCUUGGAUCAGCUUCAAAGGAGAGGUUGGGCUCUAGCGAACAGAUGUUACCUUUGUCAAAGACAUGAAGAAUCAAUUGAUCACAUUCUUCUUCAUUGUGAUAAGGUUAGAACUCUUUGGGUGCUGCUCUACUCAAUGUUUGGGGUACAGUGGGUGCUGCCUGCCACGGUUAAGGAGACGCU
rnacentral:lncRNA from 1 species